AUUCUAGGGUCCACAACCCGUGUUGUGCCAGCACCAAGGGUGCACUGUCAGACGGGACGUGCAAGACUCCCACUUCAGAGGCCCACCGUCCCAGAGGAGUUGGCCCAGAGAGAAUCUGCAACUGUCCAAAAGGAUGCUGCUGCUGCUGUUGCUUCAGAACCUGAGAUUCCUCAGAACUACGAUGCUGCAGCAUCAAAUUUUAACAGCUUAGAAGAGUUGGAGUCUGUGGAAACCUCGGCACCAUUACCAUUGGAAGAUAUAGGCGAUCUUCAUUGUGAGGAGGCUGUAGAUUUUGAGCACGCCACCUCACACUUUGUGAUAGGCUCCAGAAGA
rnacentral:lncRNA from 1 species